rnacentral:rRNA from 1 species
AUUGAACGCUGGCGGCAGGCCUAACACAUGCAAGUCGAACGGUAACAGGAAGCAGCUUGCUGCUUCGCUGACGAGUGGCGGUCGGGUGAGUAAUGUCUGGGAAGCUGCCUGAUGGAGGGGGAUAACUAUUGGAAACGGUAGCUAAUACCGCAUAAUGUCGCAAGACCAAAGAGGGGGACCUUCGGGCCUCUUGCCAUCGGAUGUGCCCAGAUGGGAUUAGCUUGUUGGUGGGGUAACGGCUCACCAAGGCGACGAUCCCUAGCUGGUCUGAGAGGAUGACCAGCCACACUGGAACUGAGACACGGUCCAGACUCCUACGGGAGGCAGCAGUGGGGAAUAUUGCACAAUGGGCGCAAGCCUGAUGCAGCCAUGCCGCGUGUAUGAAGAAGGCCUUCGGGUUGUAAAGUACUUUCAGCGGGGAGGAAGGGAGUAAAGUUAAUACCUUGGCUCAUUGACGUUACCCGCAGAAGAAGCACCGGCUAACUCCGUG